GCGCGUAAUUUACCCAAUACCGGCUCGGUGAGGUAGUGACAAAAAAUUACAAUAUGGGCCCUAGUGGUUUCAUAAUUGCAAUGAGAAUAUUUUAAAUACUUUAUCAAGUAUCAAUUGGAGGGCAAGUCUGGUGCCAGCAGCCGCGGUAAUUCCAGCUCCAAAAGCGUAUAUUAAAGUUGUUGCAGUUAAAAAGCUCGUAGUUGAAAUUGAGGWUCUAGAUGGAUUGAAAUCCUCUGAUUGAUAUUCAUACGGUCCUUAVAAGUUGUGUAUAUUUUUCAGGUGCUUUAUGGCAUUUGAUUAAUACCCAACUAGUUUACUUUGAAAAAAUUAGAGUGCUUAAAGCAGGCUUAUGCUUGUAUAUUGUUGCAUGGAAUAAUAAAAUAGGACUUCGGUUUUAUUUUGUUGGUUUUCGAAACUGAAGUAAUGAUUAAAAGAGACUGCCGGGGGCAUGUGUAUGCUGGUGUUAGAGGUGAAAUUCUUAGAUCAUCAGCAGACAAACAACUGCGAAAGCAUUUGCCAAGAAUGUUUUCAUUAAUCAAGAACGAAAGUCAGAGGAUGGAAGACGAUCAGAUACCGUCUUAGUUCGGACCAUAAUUAUGCCAACUGACCAGUUAGCAAAGAUAUAUUCAUAUUCUUGCUAGAAGUCACCGGGAAACCAAAGUCUAUGGGUUCCGGGGGAAGUAUGGUUGCAAAGCUGAAACUUAAAGGAAUUGACGGAAGGGCACCACCAGGAGUGGAGCCUGCGGCUUAAUUUGACUCAACACGGGAAAUCUCACCCGGUCCGGACACUGUGAGGAUUGACAGAUUGAUAGCUCUUUCUUGAUUCGGUGGGUGGUGGUGCAUGGCCGUUCUUAGUUGGUGGAGCGAUUUGUCUGGUUAAUUCCGAUAACGAACGAGACUCGAGCCUGCUAAAUAGUACAUUUGUGUUAAAUCGCAAAUGCUGACUUCUUAGAGGAAUAAAUAGCGUUUAGCUAAAUGAAAAUGAGCAAUAACAGGUCUGUGAUGCCCUUAGAUGUCCGGGGCCGCACGCGCGCUACAAUGUCAGUAACAACGAGUUUUAUUCCUAACUAGAAAUGGUCGGGUAAUCUGUUGAAUCACUGUCGUAUCAGGAAUAGUGGUUUGAAAUUUUUCCACUUGAACGAGGAAUUCCUAGUAAGCGCAAGUCACUAACUUGCGCUGAUUACGUCCCUGCCCUUUGUACACACCGCCCGUCGCUACUACCGAUUGAAUGGUUUAGUGAGAUUGUUGGAUUCUAAUUUAAGAAAUGGCAACAUUUCU
rnacentral:rRNA from 1 species